rnacentral:rRNA from 1 species
GAUGAACGCUGGCGGCGUGCCUAAUACAUGCAAGUCGAGCGAACGGACGAGAAGCUUGCUUCUCUGAUGUUAGCGUCGGACGGGUGAGUAACACGUGGAUAACCUACCUAUAAGACUGGGAUAACUUCGGGAAACCGGAGCUAAUACCGGAUAAUAUUUUGAACCGCAUGGUUCAAAAGUGAAAGACGGUCUUGCUGUCACUUAUAGAUGGAUCCGCGCUGCAUUAGCUAGUUGGUAAGGUAACGGCUUACCAAGGCAACGAUGCAUAGCCGACCUGAGAGGGUGAUCGGCCACACUGGAACUGAGACACGGUCAAGACUCCUACGGGAGGCAGCAGUAGGAAAUCUUCAGCAAUGGGCGAAAGCCUGACGGAGAAACGCCGCGUGAGUGAGGAAGGUCUUCGGAUCGUAAAACUCUGUUAUUAGGGAAGAACAUAUGUGUAAGUAACUGUGCACAUCUUGACGGUACCUAAUCAGAAAGCCACGGCUAACUACGUG